UACAGAGGUCUCAAGCGUUGUUCGGAAUCACUGGGCGUAAAGCGCACGUAGGCGGAUUGUUAAGUCGGGGGUGAAAUCCUGAGGCUCAACCUCAGAACUGCCUCCGAUACUGGCAAUCUCGAGUUCGGAAGAGGUUGGUGGAACAGCUAGUGUAGAGGUGAAAUUCGUAGAUAUUAGCUAGAACACCAGUGGCGAAGGCGGCCAACUGGUCCGACACUGACGCUGAGGUGCGAAAGCGUGGGGAGCAAACAGG
rnacentral:rRNA from 1 species